rnacentral:rRNA from 1 species
UGGGGAAUAUUGCACAAUGGGCGCAAGCCUGAUGCAGCCAUGCCGCGUGUAUGAAGAAGGCCUUCGGGUUGUAAAGUACUUUCAGUCGGGAGGAAGGUGUCAAGGUUAAUAACCUUGGCAAUUGACGUUACCGACAGAAGAAGCACCGGCUAACUCCGUGCCAGCAGCCGCGGUAAUACGGAGGGUGCAAGCGUUAAUCGGAAUUACUGGGCGUAAAGCGCACGCAGGCGGUUGAUUGAGUCAGAUGUGAAAUCCCCGGGCUUAACCCAGGAAUUGCAUCUGAUACUGGUCAGCUAGAGUCUUGUAGAGGGGGGUAGAAUUCCAUGUGUAGCGGUGAAAUGCGUAGAGAUGUGGAGGAAUACCGGUGGCGAAGGCGGCCCCCUGGACAAAGACUGACGCUCAGGUGCGAAAGCGUGGGGAGCAAACAGG